UGCAAGUCGAACGGUAUCCUCGAUGCUUGCAUUGAGGAGAGAGUGGCGAACGGGUGCAUAACACGUGUAAUCUACCUUUAAGAUUGGGAUAACUAUCCGAAAGGAUGGCUAAUACUGGAUAAUAUGCCAUUUGCAUAAGCAGGAGGCAUUAAAGAUGGGGAUCGUAAGACCUAUCACUUAAAGAUGAGCCCGCGGCCCAUUAGCUUGUUGGUGGGGUAAAGGCCUACCAAGGCUGUGAUGGGUAGCCGGCCUGAGAGGGUGAACGGCCACAUUGGGACUGAGAUACGGCCCAGACUCCUACGGGAGGCAGCAGUUAAGAAUCUUGGACAAUGGACGCAAGUCUGAUCCAGCGACGCCGCGUGAAUGAUGAAGGUCUUCGGAUUGUAAAGUUCAGUAAGAUGGGAAGAAAAAGUAUCGGCUAAUAUUCGGUACUCUGACGGUACCAUUCUAAAGCCACGGCUAAAUACGUGCCAGCAGCCGCGGUAAUACGUAUGUGGCAAGCGUUGUUCGGAAUUAUUGGGCAUAAAGGGCAUCUAGGCGGGGUACUAAGUCGGGUGUGAAAUUUUCAGGCUUAACUUGAAAACUGCAUUCGAUACUGGUACUCUUGAGUCUCGGAGAGGAAGGCGGAAUUCCUGGUGUAGCGGUGAAAUGCGUAGAUAUCAGGAAGAACACCGGUGGCGAAGGCGGCCUUCUGGCCUAAGACUGACGCUCAAGUGCGAAAGCGUGGGGAGCAAACGGGAUUAGAUACCCCGGUAGUCCACGCCGUAAACGUUGUAUACUAGGUGUUAGAGGUUUACCUCUAGUGCCGUCGUAAAUGCAUUAAGUAUACCGCCUGGGGAGUACGCUCGCAAGGGUGAAACUCAAAGAAAUUGACGGGGGCCCGCACAAGCGGUGGAGCAUGUGGUUUAAUUCGACGAUACGCGAGAAACCUUACCUGGGCUUGAACUGUGCAUGACAGGUGUAGAGAUACACCCUCCCUUCGGGGCAUGUAUAGAGGUGCUGCAUGGUUGUCGUCAGCUCGUGUCGUGAGAUGUUGGGUUAAGUCCCGCAACGAGCGCAACCCUUACGCUUUGUUGCUAACAGGUAAUGCUGAGCACUCUAAGCGAACUGCCGGUGACAAACCGGAGGAAGGUGAGGAUGACGUCAAAUCAUCACGGCCCUUACGUCCAGGGCUACACACGUGCUACAAUGGCUGGUACAGAUGGUUGCCAAACCGUAAGGUGGAGCUAAUCCCAGAAAACCAGUCUCAGUUCGGAUUGGGGUCUGCAACCCGACCCCAUGAAGUCGGAAUCGCUAGUAAUCGCAGAUCAGAAUGCUGCGGUGAAUACGUUCCCGGGCCUUGUACACACCGCCCGUCACACCAUCCGAGUUGGCUGCACCCGAAGUGGCUGAUCUAACCGCAAGGAGGAAGGUUACUAAGGUGAAGCUAGUGAGGAGGGUGAAGUCGUAACAAGGUA
rnacentral:rRNA from 1 species